rnacentral:lncRNA from 1 species
GUCCUACACCUGCUGCCUCGCCGGGUUGAACAGCGGGGCCCGGGCAUUCGCCGGGUGCGCAUGGCCUUCACGGCGCAUGAAGACCUGGCCACGAGCCUGGAGGCCUGGAUUACCGACCAGUGUGCCGCGGCCCCAUCUGUGGAGGUGUAGCAGUCGCUCACCUGACGGGAGGACUGGCAGAGCGGAAGCGUGGAGUUAUUAGUCCUCGUCGAUGUAGGAAGAAGUCCCACCAAGCGGCAGGCACUAGCGUACAUAAGAUGUGUACGUAACAAUUAGAGACGGCGGCAGCGGAGUCUUGAACUCCGAACACCUAGUAAUGUGAUACGUCAGUGUCUGGCCAGAACACCCCGCCCGGGCAGCUUAUAUCUCGGCCUACCUGCCGGAUAAUCUCUACUACGGACCUUGCCGUACUAGGAUAAUGUUGGUGGGGCCCGGGGCCCCAGCCCGUUAGAUUCGCUUACGAACAACUGCCCAGUUCGCGACAUGUGACGAAACUCGGAACAUGUACGAAACUUGAGUCAGAUCGUUUAACAAAUUAACAGUUAUUGUUAAAAGUAAUCGUUAAAAUAUUCUAAGGGAAAUGUAGCCUGCUACAGGAGGACAAUCCUGCUGGCCUGAUCGAGUGGUGGCCUGCCUUCAAACGCCACCUCGCUACUCGUGCACAUCAGCUCAACAAAACAGCACAACAUCGCAGGCUGCGCCCAGGAGCCCGUGUACAAGCAGCCCUACCAGCAGUCCAGCAGGCCCGACAAAGGGUCGACACAGAUCCCGGAGCACAGCAGCCCUUACAGCAACUGGUGGACGCACAGGCGGCACUAGCACGGGCCCACCGAGAGGACUGCAGCAAGGAGGCGAUGGAGGCCCGCAUACACUGGCUACGGGCAGGGGAGCGGCCGAGCCCAGCCAUGACUGCGUUCAUCCAGGCCCAAAGCGUGGACCAACAACCAGCUCCCGUCGCCCUGCAAGCCCAGUCCGGCCGCCUAGUGACUAAUCCUAGCCAGCUUCCCCAGGUGGUCGCAGACUUCUGGAGUGAAGUGAGCCGAGCUCCCAACUAUAUCUGCCCCCAAGCCCAGCAGGAGGUGCUAAACUCCCUGGCGGCCGCCAACAUCUCGCUACCCGCAGAGGCAGAUGAACAGCUGGGAUCCAGAACCAUCACGGCCACCGAGUUACGAAAGGCUCUUAAGAAAAGCCAGCCUGGCAAGGCCCCGGGGUGGGACGGCAUCCCAGCCGACAUCUACAGGAAAUUCUGGUCGGCCAUCGGCACCACCAUGGCUGGCCUGCUCACCGCCAUAGGCUUGACGGGGCAGGUGCCGAAGGGCUUCUUGGAGGGGGUACUGACGGUGAUCUACAAAAAAGGCGACCCCAAACUCCCUGGCAACUACCGUCCUAUCACCCUGCUUUGCUCGGACUACCGACUGCUCACCAAAGUGCUGGCAAACCGCCUAGGCCCUGCCCUUGGCCAAGUCAUAACCCCCGAGCAAUCAGCCUUCCUACCCAGGCGCCUCAUUGGAGCCAGUGUGCUAUUCCUGCGUCACCUGUCACACCUCCUUCGCAAGCAGAACCGCCGGGGGCUCCUGGCAUUCCUGGACUUCGCCAAGGCCUAUGACACGGUGGAUCGUGGGUUCCUCCUGGCAGCAAUGGAGACCAUGGGUGCAGGGCCACAGCUC